AGAGUUUGAUCCUGGCUCAGAACGAACGCUGGCGGCAGGCCUAACACAUGCAAGUCGAGCGCGCCCUUCGGGGUGAGCGGCGGACGGGUUAGUAACGCGUGGGAAUAUACCCGACACUAAGGAAUAGCCUCUGGAAACGGAGAGUAAUACCUUAUACGCCCUUCGGGGGAAAGAUUUAUCGGUGACGGAUUAGCCCGCGUUAGAUUAGAUAGUUGGUGGGGUAAUGGCCUACCAAGUCUACGAUCUAUAGCUGGUUUUAGAGGAUGAUCAGCAACACUGGGACUGAGACACGGCCCAGACUCCUACGGGAGGCAGCAGUGGGGAAUCUUGGACAAUGGGGGCAACCCUGAUCCAGCCAUGCCGCGUGAGUGAUGAAGGCCUUAGGGUCGUAAAGCUCUUUCGCCUGUGAUGAUAAUGACAGUAGCAGGUAAAGAAACCCCGGCUAACUCCGUACCAGCAGCCGCGGUAAUACGGAGGGGGUUAGCGUUGUUCGGAAUUACUGGGCGUAAAGCGCACGUAGGCGGAUCAGAAAGUAUGGGGUGAAAUCCCAGGGCUCAACCCAGGAACUGCCUCAUAAACUCCUGGUCUUGAGUUCGAGAGAGGUGAGUGGAAUUCCGAGUGUAGAGGUGAAAUUCGUAGAUAUUCGGAGGAACACCAGUGGCGAAGGCGGCUCACUGGCUCGAUACUGACGCUGAGGUGCGAAAGUGUGGGGAGCAAACAGGAUUAGAUACCCUGGUAGUCCACACCGUAAACGAUGAAUGCCAGUCGUCGGGUAGCAUGCUAUUCGGUGACACACCUAACGGAUUAAGCAUUCCGCCUGGGGAGUACGGUCGCAAGAUUAAAACUCAAAGGAAUUGACGGGGGCCCGCACAAGCGGUGGAGCAUGUGGGUUUAAUUCUAAGCAACGCGCAGAACCUUACCAACCCUUGACAUCCUAGGACAACUCCCCAGAAGGGAGCCUUCCUUCCGGGACCUAAUUGACAAGGUGCUGCAUGGGUUGUCCUCCACCUCCUGUCCUGGGAGAGUUUCGGUUUAAUUCCCGCGAACGA
rnacentral:rRNA from 1 species